rnacentral:ncRNA from 2 species
CCCGUUCAAUCUGGAGAGCGGCGCGCGCACGCGCGCCCACCGAAGGGGCUAACGGCCACGCUGUGUGUACAUCACUGGCGCGCCGGAAAAUCUCAGGUUCAGCGGACAGAGGGUGUGAG